CAUGGGGGGAGCAAGCGUUGUUCGGAAUCACUGGGCGUAAAGGGCGUGUAGGCGGUCAGGUAAGUGGGACGUGAAAUGCCUCGGCUCACCCGAGGAGCGGCGUCCCAUACUGCUUGGCUUGAGUACGGGAGAGGAUGUGGGAAUUCCUGGUGUAGCGGUGAAAUGCGUAGAUAUCAGGAGGAACACCGGUGGCGAAGGCGCACAUCUGGCCCGAUACUGACGCUGAGGCGCGAAAGCUAGGGGAGCAAACGGG
rnacentral:rRNA from 1 species